rnacentral:lncRNA from 1 species
AUGGCACUGAGCCAAGAUUGCGUUUGCAGAUUCAAAGAGGCCAAAUUUCUUCCCCCCUCUGCCUCCUCUCCCUUUCCCCUGGUAUUAGGAAAUCGGGUUUUCUGUGUACUGGUUAGUUCGUUUUACUUCCCUUUGGUUCUCCCCCCACUGUCAAUUUCUAGGUCAUUGCUGCUCUUAAGACUUCAGCAAUUGGAACAGGGUUGGUUCCGUCAACGAUGCGUGAAGCUGACUUCGAGUCCCUGCUUGGCUUCCGCUGCCCUUGUGGGAGCACAGGCUGAUGUAACCUGCUUUGGGGGAAGGAGGGCCAGCUGCCUUUCUCUGCUGCAGGAAUCCUCUGGGGUGGCAUGGCAGCGUGGACGCUUUGCUCUCAGGACUGUGGGUGAGAGGCCCUCCUCGCUCUGGGCUCUGUCCCCAUCUCCCCAGCCUGGCUGUGCUGUCCUGCCGCCCCCAGCAGUGUCUGGGCCCUACUCCCAGGCUGUUUCUGCCAGCCAGGCAUGGUGCCAGCUGUCUGCUCAGCCGGGUGCCACGGGAAAAUCUCCGGCCGCCCAGGUUGGGGAGCUCCACGGGGAAUGCCCGUGAGCCCGCUCCUCGGUGUCCACUCACCUGUCUUUUCUCUCUCUGCAGCAUCACAGGACAUGGCCCCCACAGCCGCCUAGCCGGGGCCCACCCAGGAGAGGCUUCCUUUUCGGCAUCCUGAAGGCCUGCUCUGGACCUUCCCGGGAAAGUGCCAGCUCGCAGAACCGCUUGACUAAAGGACUGGCUCUCGGGACAUCCCUUAGCCCACCGGCUCCCCCUAGAGUGGGGGUGCCAGGAGCCUGAGAUUAGCCUGCUGGCCUUGGACUGCAGCUCCGGGACAGAAGGGGGGGUGGGCUGACCACCCGAGCCCCCUCUGGGCCCAGGCCCCAUGCCCCGAGGAGAGGCGGCCUGAAGNNNNNNNNNNNNNNNNNNNNNNNNNNNNNNNNNNNNNNNNNNNNNNNNNNNNNNNNNNNNNNNNNNNNNNNNNNNNNNNNNNNNNNNNNNNNNNUGGGUACCCGGUGCCCCCCUACGCCUUCUUCUUCCCCCCCAUGCUGGGUGGACUCUCCCCCCCAGGCGCUCUGACCACUCUCCAGCACCAGCUUCCAGUGAGCGGCUAUAGCACGCCAUCCCCAGCCAGUAAGUGGGGUCGGGGAGUGUCGUGGGAGGGGGCCGUGGAGGGCGGCAGGCCCAAGGCUGGACCUCUGGGCACAUCUCUUCCUCAGCGGCCAGGUCUCCUCCAGACGGGGGGACCUGCUGGACAAGAGGGCUUGAGGAUGAAAGGCCAGUAGGCUAAUCGCCGUGGUUGUGUUUGAUGUUGGGAGGUGGCACGGAGUGUGGAGAGCUGAGACAAUGCUGUCCUCUGGCCCCUCACGCCCCCUCAUGUGCUCUGCCGUUGAGGGCCUUAUAAAUAGCUCCAAGCACUGGACAAGGAGGCUGGAGUCGGGUAAACAAACCUCUCGACAUUUGGUGGGGAUGGCUGGUCUGCUGAGAACAGCACCCCACCUCCAGCCCACCCCAUCCAGCGCCUCUGAGAGAAGGGACUGGAGUAGCACCCCCUCCCCUCACUGCUGGCCAGGCCGGGUGGUGCUUCCCUUUGUGGGGAGGGCGCCGGGGCAGGGGAGGGCCCCACAGGCAGCCUGGGGAUGGGGGGAGAGUCCGGGAGGGGACACAGGCCUGGACUCUGGCUGUGGCCGCAGGCCUGCUCUUGGCAGGGCCUGUGUUUUCUCUCCGCCUCCGCCGUCUGCCAUGGGGGGUCGCCUGUUGGCUGGGUGGGGGUCUCGGUACCCUUCCCUGGCUGGCCGAGCCAGGUAGUGGGAGGUGGCGGCACUGAGGCCAGCUGGCAGAGUCCAGGCCUCGGUCCUGCCAGGCGGCUUACAGUAACUCUGGCCCCCAGGGCCCAGCUGGGCGCCAGGCCAGGGUUUGGGGGAGGAGGGAGCCGGGGCCUGGCCUGGGGCAGGAGGGGGUGGAAGCCAUAGAAGGGGGCCAUGGACGGCGGACUGGCCUGGCCGGUCAGCUGUUGACCUGGGAAACGUGUCCCACCUCUCCUGGCAGGCAGGGACUGAACACCCUGCCCUGGGCACCCACCGCCUCUCCCAUGCCACUGGCAAGCUGCCUGGCACCGCUGCCCUGUGCGCCUGGCUGGGCUGGGUCAGUGCCCCCUUCCCAGCUUGGGGGUAGCGCACUCUCCCCGGAGCCAGGGAGUCUCUUUGUCCCUGGGGCAGGCCCUGGCUCGGAGCCUCACUGCCCGCACUGGCCGGCUGCCCACCGCCACCACUGCUUCCUGGCUCGCCUCCUCUGGCUUGCUCGGUGGCCCCCUCCCUCUCCAGCCCCACCAGCCGCUGAGAGCAGGGGCUCUAAGUCUGUGUUCCUUUAGGUCCCUACCCUCUGUGCCCCGGGGAAGGGGGCAGGCGGAUGCUGCCUCCUCAAACCUCACCUUCUGUUUCCUCCCAUGGAGGGGGCACAGCGGGCAGCAUCGUGACCUGGGAGUCAGAAUGAUUCUGGCCUGGUCUUCAGUCUGUGCUCGGUGAUGGGAGAGGCCAGUCUCUGAGUUAGGGGAUGCUGGAGAAGGGGCGAGUGGGUUUGGGGUGCCUGGGAUCUGUGUGGGAACUGGAGUUCACAUCCCAGUUCCAGGAACUAGAGUGUCUUGCUUCCCGCCAGGGUGGGGUUUUUAGGGAGGGAGAAACCGAGAGCGCUCAGCCUGGUGCUGGUGGACAGCUUGCUCUUCCCCAGGUGAUUGGGAACAGGGCCCUGGACACUGUCCCCCCUGGGGCCUGGCUCACGGAGGGCUGGCCUGACCCCUAUCUUGUGCCGGACAAGCGAGUGUUUUGCUCUCCUUUUUGAAUGUUGCAACCUUCUUCCUCUUUCUUCGAGGUGGGUGGGGAGGGUUUCCGGGUACCCCACCUCCCACCCUGGUAACCUUCUUCCCCCAGGGUGGGGUGCCCACAUUUCUGGUUAAGCAAUGCCCCUUCCUGCCCCCCUCCCUCUGUGAGCCAGUGGGUUUCCCUGCCUCUUCCUGGUAAACAACAACACCUCUGCUUACCCAGACCCCCAGCUUCUGAGCUUCUCCCUGACCUUCCUUCCCCUUAGGUCAGGAACCUCCCCAUCCACCCCGAGGGAGCCAGGCAUCUCCCUCUUCCUCGUGGAAGGCUGCGGGACCUGGUAACCCUGGCUUUCAGCUCUGGGUAGUGCAGCAUGACAAAUCAAAGUUCAGUCCUGGAGGCAGCCUCGCUCCUCCCACCUGAGGGCCAGUGCUGGGGGCCAGGCAUUUCCCAGGAGGGUGGACAGCUGUGGCCCCCAUCCCCACCAGGAGUGAUUAUAUGUUCUGGUCCCCUGCCACCCAUUCUGCAGGCAGCCUGGCACAGGAGGCCCCCUCCUCCCACUUGCCGCCAACAAAGGUGUUGUCCAUCCUUCCAUCCCUCUCGCCAAGCUGGGGUGGGGGGAGGCUGGACCCUGGGUGUGCUUCAGAGACUCAGUGGCCUGUGGAAGGACAGAACUGUUCUCUAGGUCAGUGGCGACGGGUGGGUAUUUGUCCUGCUGUUGUCUCUCUCUCCCGGGAAGCCAGAGUGGGAAGUUCCAGGGAUGGUACAAGAUCUCCCCCUCCAAACCAGUCCUGGAGGCUUGGUCUCUUGAGGACUGGUAUUUACUGUGGAGGCUUGGGAUUCUGUGUGCCUUGUUGGGAGGGUCAGGGUUGUGUGUGUUUUGGGAGGGAGGUGAGGGUUGGGUGUGUUUUAGGGGUGGGGAGGUCAAGGUUGGGUGUGUGCUGGGGAGGGGGUCAAUGGCUUAAAAGUAUUGGGUGAGAGGGUCAGAGUGUGUUUGAGGAGAAUCAGAUCCAGAGCCAGGAGGGGUGUCAAUGUGUUUGUGUGCUGCAGGGGGAGGUGACUUAGGGCACUGAAUGUGUAAGGGGGAGGGGUCUGUGAUUGUGUUGUGUGUUUGGAGGGGGAAGGGUCUCUUUCUUAUCGCUAGUCUAGGCUGGAGAGGAAACGCACCUGCCUUUUUUUAUUGCUUGCCCUGGGAAUUCCAUGAGGUGGGAGGGGUUGCUGUGGAGUAGGCUGUGUAGCUUGAGUUCUGGCUUUGCCAUUUACUAAGUGUGACAACCUCUCCGAGCGUGUUUCCUCGUCUGUAAAACAGGGAUCUAAGCAGAACCUCCCUCAGACGGCUGAGGUUAGGCAAGAUCGCCGACGUAAUGCACUCUGCUCCUGGUCUUGCAUGCGCUCAUGGCUGUCUCGUGGCCGUGGUACCCGGGUGUUAUGACGGGAAGAGGAUCGUGACCCUUUUCUGGGUGGGAGCUGGAGAGAAUGGGAUGCUAACAUCUGUGGAGCGCCCACUGUGUGCCUGGGACCUUAUCUCUGUUUUACAAAUCUGAAUCCCGACAAUCUAGGAGAGGGACAUUAUCUCCAUUUACACCUGAGGAAACAGCGCUGGUGGUUA